UUUACUUGCACUUGUAUUUUGAUUAUGUGAUCUAACUCUCAUGCUUUGUGUUAUGUGCUGGACCGUUGGGGGUUCAGAUUCUCAGGUUGAGGAUCCCGAUCAGAGUUAGAGGGCUUGCUCGUGCUCGUGGUAGUGCGCUUUUUGGUGAGGAGUUUAGCGUAGACUACUCCUUAGAUAUAUUUUAUAUAUGUUUUUGAAUGGGUUGUAUAGAAUUGCUCUGAUUAGGUAUUUA
rnacentral:lncRNA from 1 species